AUUGAACGCUGGCGGCAUGCCUUACACAUGCAAGUCGAACGGCAGCGCGGGGGCAACCCUGGCGGCGAGUGGCGAACGGGUGAGUAAUAUAUCGGAACGUACCCAAGAGUGGGGGAUAACGUAGCGAAAGUUACGCUAAUACCGCAUACGAUCUAAGGAUGAAAGCAGGGGACCGCAAGGCCUUGUGCUCCUGGAGCGGCCGAUAUCUGAUUAGCUAGUUGGUGGGGUAAAGGCCUACCAAGGCAUCGAGUCAGUAGCUGGUCUGAGAGGACGACCAGCCACACUGGGACUGAGACACGGCCCAGACUCCUACGGGAGGCAGCAGUGGGGAAUUUUGGACAAUGGGGGGCAACCCUGAUCCAGCAAUGCCGCGUGAGUGAAGAAGGCCUUCGGGUUGUUAAAGGCUCUUUGUUCAGGGAAGAAACGGUAG
rnacentral:rRNA from 1 species